rnacentral:rRNA from 1 species
GAUGAACGCUGGCGGCGUGCCUAAUACAUGCAAGUCGAGCGAACAGACGAGGAGGUUUCCCCUCUGACGUUAGCGGCGGACGGGUGAGUAACACGUGGAUAACCUACCUAUAAGACUGGGAUAACUUCCGGAAACCGGAGCUCAUACCGGAUAAUAUAUUGAACCGCAUGGUUCAAUAGUGAAAGACGGUUUUGCUGUCACUUAUAGAUGGAUCCGCGCCGCAUUAGCUAGUUGGUAAGGUAACGGCUUACCAAGGCAACGAUGCGUAGCCGACCUGAGAGGGUGAUCGGCCACACUGGAACUGAGACACGGUCCAGACUCCUACGGGAGGCAGCAGUAGGGAAUCUUCCGCAAUGGGCGAAAGCUUGACGGAGCAACGCCGCGUGAGUGAUGAAGGUCUUCGGAUCGUAAAACUCUGUUAUUAGGGAAGAACAAAUGUGUAAGUAACUAUGCACGUCUUGACGGUACCUAAUCAGAAAGCCACGGCUAACUACGUG